ACGAGAAAUCGGUGCGAGCCGCUAAGAGUAACACGGCAGCAGAAAGCACGGAAGAAAGACGACGGCGACGGCGGCGACACUGAGCUGCUCAACAGGAGGAGGAGCCGGCAGGGAAGAAAGACAGCGGCGACGGCGGAGACACUGAGC